rnacentral:rRNA from 1 species
GGAAUAUUGGGCAAUGGCCGAGAGGCUGACCCAGCCAUGCCGCGUGCAGGAAGAAGGCCUUCUGGGUUGUAAACUGCUUUUAUCUAGGAAGAAAACGCCCCUGCGGGGGUAACUGACGGUGCUAUAUGAAGAAGCACCGGCUAACUCCGUGCCAGCAGCCGCGGUAAUACGGAGGGUGCAAGCGUUGUCCGGAUUGAUUGGGUUUAAAGGGUGCGUAGGCGGCCCGUUAAGUCAGCGGUGAAAUCCCACGGCUCAACCGUGGAACUUCCGUUGAUACUGGCGGGCUUGAGUUCGGUCGAGGCGGGCGGAACUGGCGGUGUAGCGGUGAAAUGCAUAGAUACCGCCAAGAACCCCGAUUGCGUAGGCAGCUCGCUGGGCCGAAACUGACGCUGAGGCACGAAAGCGUGGGGAGCGAA